UUUAUAAAGAGUCUUUGGAGAUGCUGCACAAAGCUGAAGGUGAUGCUGCUUGUUGGUGAGAACAAUUGUUCUGCAGAUUGCAUGUGUUGUCAUAGCUUUUAUCAUUUUUCACCGGUCCCUUUGCCGUUGCUGGCAGUCAAGGAGGCAACACUGUGGCAGAACUGCUUUGCAGGCCAUUUAGGAGGAAGCACGUGGAACCCCAGAAGUUAAUUUUCAGCUGAGCAAGAAACUUUGCUCUCCAGGGGAACAAGGAAGUGCAUGACUCCAAGGGCUUUGGACAAGCACCAGCCAUUGAGGAGAUCGAAACAGUCAGCUGUAUAGCUGUACUCCAUAUCCAGUGCCAGGAAGGAGACUAAUAACUGUGCCUGAGGUGGGAAGUGUUCCUGCAUACCACAAACACCAGCACUGCAGGGGGUGCAGAAAAGUUAAUUUUGGGUGGGAGAAUGAAGAUUCUUCAGUGUGCAUUCCAGGUCAUUGAAAAAGAUUGUAUUACACCAGAAUGUAUGGGCUAGCACCUCUGCCAUCCUGCUGCCGUACUAAUAGGGAGCAGUUGGCCAUAUAUGAGUGCUUUGAGGUCCACAGCCACAUGCUUAAACUAAGAGGAAGAAUGGACUCUCAGUGCUUUGUCUGAGUAGUGAUUUGAAGAAGAGUGUGAGAUCAGUCUCUGAGGAAAAAAGGGAGGAAGAGAAUUACAGAAUAUACUGCAGAGAGAGGGAAUGUGGGCAGGAAGACUUCCUGGGAAACAGCAAAGCUCAAGUUAUAUCUUAUGGAAAACUCCCGAGAUCCUGAGGACAAGAAAACACCUGACAAAAGCUCAAGGAGACAAGGAUGCUGGCUUGUGGAAGAAGAAUGUGAAACUACAUGUGGGUACUGGAGACUGGACCUGACCCAAAGGACAUCUGUCAUCCUGUCUACACAAUGUCAAUAAGCGGAUGAAGGAUGGCGGCCCUCCUUUUUGUUUUGGGGCUGGCCUGCUAAGCAUGUCACGUCACCUGACCUAGGUCAACCAUGGAACCUGUGUCAGAGUCAGGGACUGAAAGUUUCCUCAGCUGGUAGUCAAUACCUUAAUUGCAAAAAUAGUUAUGUUGACUCUGCACUGUUAUAGUGCACGUAUAGCUCUACUGCUUGGACCUUGGGAUUCUAUUGCUGGGACAUGGGGCUCUUUCAUUUCCAGCAUAACAACUUGCAGUCAGCUAUGCCAUCCCAUCAGCUUGCCCUGCUGUGCUUCUGGUGUUCUCAACACAGCAAUUAGCGACUCAGGAAUACCUGAACCCAAGGUGGUAUCUGUGUUACGAGUGUAUCAGUAAUGGUGACCUGAACCACUGCGCAUUGACAUAUCCUAAUUUCACAGAAGAUUUUAUUCCUUCCUUUAAGAGAUUACCUUGUCAGAUUAGACAUGACUAAGAGAAAUGGGAUACCUACUCAUGUGAGGGACUAUGGGGAGGAGAAAGCAAAAAGCUGGUGGGUUAAUGUGGCUGGGACCACAAUAGUAUAAAACAGUGAAAAGGGGGAAAAUAAAGAUAAGAGUGGGGAAGAGGUAAAGGAGCAGAGGAUAUACCAGCAGAGUGAAGUGAGUGGGAGGCCAGUUUGCCUUUGUAACGUGAAUUGGAAUUGUGGAAUGUGGAUAAGCAGAAGGGUCCAGGAGAUUAGAGGAUGGGGAAUAAUAUGGUAGGACAGCACAGGUUGUGGACAAAUGGGACAGAGAUAGAGAAACCAAGCAGGAGAGGAAAUAAAGCUGAGAAGACCUGUUACAGAGAAAGAGGAAAGGAAGUGCUGGAUAUAGUGGCUUUAAGCUGGAGAAGGUUAUAUAUUUUAGAUAAGUGGAGCUGCAUGUUGGAAAGACAAGCAGAGAUACGGUUUCAAGCAAUAUGAAGAGGCAGGUGAGGAUGAGGAGGUUGGCUUACUGAGAAGUCCAAGGGAUUUAGAAUUGCAAACUAGAGGAAUCAAGUGAAACAGGAAGCCCGAAGAUGGUGUUAAAAAAAAAUAACUGAAGUGGGAAUUGGGAUGCUAGCAAAAUGCUCAUUUUUGAGGAUAUGUCAGCAACCAGGGCUCCGGUAGAAGGCCUGACCAGAGGCAGCAGUCACUGACUUCUGCUGCUUUUGUGCCAGCUUAAUUCAUAGGAGGAACAACCAAGAGUCUGUGGGAUUUGUCGCAGUUGCCACUGCUCUCUUUGAAGCACUUUACUCUUCACCUCCUCUUCUGGUUAGGAUUUCUACUUUCUUCCUAGCAAUUAUUACGGCGUUUUUGUGAAAUUUGGCAUUGCAAAUGCCACCGGACCUCUUUGCCCAUUGGAAGAAAAGAGUAGCUUUGUCUCUUCCAGAGAACAGUGAACAGGCAUUCAUUUACAGCAGC